rnacentral:rRNA from 1 species
UACGAAGGGGGCUAGCGUUGCUCGGAAUCACUGGGCGUAAAGGCGCACGUAGGCGUCUUUAAGUCAGGGGUGAAAUCCUGGAGCUCAACUCCAGAACUGCCUUUGAUACUGAGAGUCUUGAGUCCGGGAGAGGUGAGUGGAACUGCGAGUGUAGAGGUGAAAUUCGUAGAUAUUCGCAAGAACACCAGUGGCGAAGGCGGCUCACUGGCCCGGUACUGACGCUGAGGUGCGAAAGCGUGGGGAGCAA